AGUGAUAAGGGAUUGGCUUUGUUCACUCGAUGUCAGGAACGGAAGUUAAUUAAACCACACCACACCCCUCGAAUUCUUCAGCAGUUGGAAGGCAAACUAGGCAUUGGGCACAACAGGUCAACAUAAUUAUGGAGGAGUAGUCAGUGGAUGAUGUUGAAUGCCUCCUAUAGAGCUGCACAGCUCUAUAUACUGUACUAUCAGUACAUUGGUACCAGGACUUCAGUGAGCAAGGUGCAGGUGCAUGGACGAUGAACAGACUCCCAUUGUUAUCAAAUAAUGCAGAUCCAAACCACCUUGACGUCUUGGUUACAAGUCUGAAUACCCGAUUGUUUGAGUGUCAAACCAAGGACAUUUGCUGUAAGGAUCAAGAUGUUUAUGCCUGAGAAACGUGCUUGAGGCCGAAGAAUCAAUCCCUCAGUUUUUGGUAGAAUUGCACGAAACUCUGUGAUGAGGGUGUCAAGCUUAGUAGCCAAUUGAUCAAGCCGAUCUGGAUCAGUGCAGUUGUAGGUUGCCAACUUCCUGCUGAUAGUAGUGAUCUAAUGAUAGGCCAUUUGAUCCCGGUGCUGCCCAAGCACAUUUUCGGAGCAUUCCCAACAGAAUUUCUCCAUCGGUAAGUGAAAGCCCAUGCUUCUUAUCUUUCAUCCACCGUUCCCAACACUGUUCACGAUGAAAGUCGCACAAAUACACUCUACAGUGCGGAAAAACAGACUCAAUAGCCGUAAUUUCUGCAUCUGAAUAGUCUGUCAUAAAGAAUGGUGGACUCCACUCUGGGUUCCAGCUUGCUAUGACCCUAAGUGCUUCUGCAAUAUGGUCACUCGUCUCAGACUGAAUGACAAAAUCUGCAACAGCAGGUGCUGUUGCCACUGUUCCUGAUGGACAUAAAGAAGGGUGUGAGAAAAUAUCAGAGGAUCCUCUUCUUCACAGGUCCAAGUAAAUGGGUGCUGGGUUCAGAAACAGCAAAAGAUGGGAAGAGCAUCACCUCGUGUACAUGUAUAUGUGCUGGACAGCCCACUUUGCGUGUACCUUGGAGACGUGUUCGACUAGAUGUUAAUGUUCGUCCCUUGAAGCACUGCUGACCAAACUGGCAGUGCUGUUUUCGAAUUCUUGAAACAAUAAAUGGGAUGCCAUCAAAUGAUAUAUUGUGACCUUCAAUUGAAUGAUUCCAAUACACCCUUGCCUAUAUGUGAAUAAUAAUUACAAUAAUAAUUAUUUUUGAUUAACAA